rnacentral:tRNA from 1 species
GCUUCUAAAGGAUAAUAGUUCAUCCACUGGUUUUAGGCACCAGAAACUCUUGGUGCAAGUCCAAGUAGUAGCU